AAACGAGAGAUUUUUAGUGGAGAAUUCUUAAUUCUACUUAAGCCGUGGUCUCAAAAUAGCAACCCUAUGAUCUUUUUGAUUUUUUUUGAUGUGAUCCAUUUGGCAUUCAUUCAUUCAUUCAUUCAUUCUUUUAGUAACAUUAUUUAAGAGCAUAUUGUUAAUGUACUAGUAUUCAUGAGAGGAUUUACUUUUUAAUUUGAUUGUCUUUUAUAAGUUCUUCAGUACAAGCUACUUAUCAGCGCAGACUUCCAGCUCACUUGCUGAAAGCAGGAUGAGAAAGGGGUAGUACUAAGUCAAUGAAUUUGGGUGUGAGGAACAGAGAUAUCUGGGACACAUGGUGAGAUCUUCACAGGCUAGUCUGGUAAGCCACUAGAGUCAGGGGUGUGACCCAUCAGGGGCCACUGGGCAUCACUGGAAAGUCACUAUGAGUUGGGAAAAUGGGAAGACUGAAGAAAAAAUGAGGAAGAAUGAAGGCAGAUUUUUUUGUUUUGUGAUUUUUCCAAGGGCCUGGCUUGGACUUCGCCUGUGUAGGAAAAUGUGCAAGAAGUACAGUGACAUUCUGAGGGAACAGGUGGUCACAACCCCCCACUGCUUCUCUCCAGCCGGAAGGAGGCUAACAUCCAGCCCCUGGUGAGGCCCACUCAAUUCACUAGGCAGAGCACAAUGAUCUGAGGAUCUCUGCCAACCCUCCUGCCUGGCCAAGCUGUGAGACCAACUGUUCCUUAUUUUCUAAGCUUUGAGCUGCUUCUGGACGUUGCUUCUUUGUUUAGGAAAUGGAUCCAAAUCCCUUUCAUCUGGACUUGCUUGAUCUCCAGGCCUGAAGUCAAGCCAGUAUUGGCUACUAUCUAUUCCCUCAGCCACACAUUGAACAACCAUAUAACCAUACCACACAUUUAUGGGUUCAAGUCUUGUUUUCAAGGGGGUUCUAUAUACGCCACUUGAUUUCAUACUAGAAAAAAAAAGCUCUACAUUGGAUUGUGCAUGUGUUAUCACCUAUUUGACAGAUGUUAGGUCUGAGGCCUGAGGCCUGAAGAAACUGAUGUAAAGCUAGUGUCAAACCCAGGAGCCCAACUUCAGUCUUUUCAUCUAUGCUCCUUGUGUGGUGCAUUCAAAGAUGCAUUAACUCUUGAAGAGAAAAUGCACAUUCCCAUCUCCUCUUGGGCAAAAUCUAAACUUCUGUAUGAAUUUUAUCUUCAACCUUCAUUCUCACAUGAAGGAAAGGGUGCCUUAAUGAGAUGGGGCCCAAGACCCCCAGCUUGUUAGGACAAAAAUAGAAACUUGUAGUAGGAGCAGAUGAUCAUGUCUGUUAUUUAACAGGAGGAACAUAAGAAAUAGGAAUAAGAAGACCUGAAGGUCGAUUGUGACUUGUUAAUUAGCUCUUCAAUAUUUAUUAACCUCUCUGAGCUUUGCUCUCCUCUUCCUUUAAGCAGAAUAAUGCUACUCUGCCAUGUGUGCCCCAUCAAGGUGUUAAAACAAUUAAACUAUAAAAUAAAACUGGCUUUAAAAUUAUAAAGCACGAUUCAUAUAGAAAGGUGUUUUUUAGCAUUAUUUUAAUUAUUUGCACAUAAAAAGGCUAAAUAUAUGAUGAAAGAUAAAUGAGAAAUGCAUGAAUGAUUCGGAUUUUUGAAUACUCUGCAUCAUCAUGACUUUUUGCGGUAUUUUACCCCCUCCAAUCCUUUAUUCUUUCCAGGUUCUCACUGAUUGAUGGUAGAUUGUGUUCUCUACCUUUAACUAAGUGGCAGUUGGCCAGGCACAAUCUUCACCACGGAAAUAGAGCUGCUGAGGAUCGUGGAGACAAAAGGCCUGAAUUAGGCUUACAUCGCUAGUAACUAUAAGGACCGCUAAAAUCUAAG